rnacentral:rRNA from 1 species
CAGCCGUAAACUAUGCGCGUUAGGCGUAUCGGUGACCACGAGUUACCGAGGUGCCGAAGGGAAACCGUGAAACGUGCCGCCUGGGAAGUACGGUCGCAAGGCUGAAACUUAAAGGAAUUGGCGGGGGAGCACCACAACAGGUGGAGCCUGCGGUUUAAUUGGACUCAACGCCGGGAAGCUCACCGGAUAGGACAGCAGAAUGAUUGCCGGGCUGAAGACCCUGCAUGACUAGCUGAGAGGAGGUGCAUGGCGUCAGUGACU